GUGAAUGUCGUAGGCCUAUAUCUGUCAUACUGGUUUUGAGAGUGGUUAUAUAUGCGGUGUUUAGCUAUUCAUGUAGGUAUUAAUCCAGUUCCUGAAAAAUGCCACACUUGCGUAGACGCUGGGUUGAUUCAACAACGCAGGACAGCCUUUAUAG